GACGAACGCUGGCGGCGUGCUUAACACAUGCAAGUCGAACGGUGAAGCUCCAGCUUGCUGGAGUGGAUCAGUGGCGAACGGGUGAGUAACACGUGAGCAACCUGCCCCUGACUCUGGGAUAAGCUCUGGAAACUGCGGCUAAUACUGGAUACGAGAAGGGUCCGCAUGGGCACUGUCUGGAAAGUUCUGCGGUUGGGGAUGGGCUCGCGGCCUAUCAGCUUGUUGGUGAGGUAAUGGCUCACCAAGGCGACGACGGGUAGCCGGCCUGAGAGGGUGACCGGCCACACUGGGACUGAGACACGGCCCAGACUCCUACGGGAGGCAGCAGUGGGGAAUAUUGCACAAUGGGCGAAAGCCUGAUGCAGCGACGCCGCGUGAGGGAUGACGGCCUUCGGGUUGUAAACCUCUUUCAGCAGGGAAGAAGCGAAAGUGACGGUACCUGCAGAAGAAGCACCGGCUAACUACGUG
rnacentral:rRNA from 1 species